AUUGAACGCUGGCGGCAGGCCUAACACAUGCAAGUCGAGCGGAAACGGCGGUAUUGAAGCUUCGGUGGAUUUACUGGACGUCGAGCGGCGGACGGGUGAGUAACGGCUGGGAACCUGCCCUGACGAGGGGGAUAACCGUUGGAAACGACGGCUAAUACCGCAUAAUGUCUACGGACCAAAGGUGGCCUCUACAUGUAAGCUAUCGCGUUGGGAUGGGCCCAGUUAGGAUUAGCUAGUUGGUAAGGUAAUGGCUUACCAAGGCAACGAUCCUUAGCUGGUUUGAGAGGAUGAUCAGCCACACUGGGACUGAGACACGGCCCAG
rnacentral:rRNA from 1 species